rnacentral:snRNA from 1 species
UGUUGACACUAAUUACUUUCG